AAGCAAUGUAUCUUCUCUCCCCUUUACCCUGUGAUGAGUCAACGCUCUCAUAGACCUAGAAGCUUCUCUCUCCUCUAGGGUUUUGCUCUCCCCUGCACCCUGGGAAACCCUGCUCUCCGAUCAGUUACUAUUCGAGCUGCACACGGCCAUGCCUCGGUAUUACUGUGAUUACUGUGACACCUACUUGACCCACGAUUCUCCAUCUGUAAGAAAGCAACACAAUGCAGGUUACAAGCAUAAGGCAAAUGUUCGAACAUACUAUCAGCAAUUUGAGGAACAACAGACCCAAAGCUUGAUUGAUCAGAGGAUUAAAGAACAUCUUGGACAAGCUGCCGCAUUCCAGCAGGUUGGUGCUGCUUACAAUCAACAUCUAAUGGGUCAGAGGCCCCGGCUUCCUGUUCUACCUACACCUUUAAUGCCACAGUUACCUGGAAGUUCACCAUUAAUCCCAGGGAUUAGGCCACCUGUUUUGCCCAGACCAAUUCCUGGAGCUCCAGGGUACGGACCUUCUCCAACAAUGGCACCUAUGAUGGCUCCACCUGGUGCUCCUUCCUUACCUGGUCAGCUAAAUGCUAUUCCAAGGCCAACCACAACAGUUCCUGGAAGCACACCAGCAUCUGCUUCCCUUGGUGCCCCACCUAUGGUCAACCUGCCAGUGUAUCAGGCCAAUCCAGUGGCAUCAACAAGUGGAGGCUACGAUAUUCUCAAUGCCAAUGCUCAAGCUCCCGAGGCUAACCAUUAGGGUUGACAAACUGGUUGGCUUUACUUCUAUACCUAAUGUCUAAAUGAAAUGAGGCAAACAAAGGGAGCCAAGAAAUUAUCGUGGUGCAAUACCUGUAUAUGGGACUUCAUCACUUAACCUCAUGAUUCUCACUAUGUAAUGCCCGUCAAGAGCUUUUCACCUGAUGCUGAAUGUCUCAUUUUUGUGCACAUUACAACUAUGGUGUUCGCUGCCCGGAAUUCUUAUCAAAUUUAACUGGCUCUUAUUCUGUGGCAGAGAUUGUUGCAUGAAAUAUGUAUUUGGAAACCAAUUUAGAAGCAAAUGCUAGAUGAAGAAUGAGACAGAUUGUUUUCGGCCAAUCCAUAUUAUAGUAGUGUU